UUACAACAACCCAAUUUAAGAAAACUACAACACCAUAUCUUUAACACAAAGAAACUAAAUCACACAUUGUAACUGAACAUUAUAGGCAAAUCACAUUAGCAACAACUGAAUCUGAUCCUAAAUAUUCAUAGAUGAUGAUGCCUCCUCAUUAUCAUUCCAAGUUUCAUCUAUACUCCUAGAAAAGGCAUCUUCAAGUUUUUACUUUGUAGAUCUUGGUACAUCACGGUAUGUGGAUGCCAAUCUCUUGUUGCAAACAAUUUCAUUCACCACACGAACAGAUUUGUGCUAAGAAAUAAGACAACAAAAAUGAAAU
rnacentral:lncRNA from 1 species